AACGCACGAGACCUGCGGACCUGCGGAGGGAUCAUUACUGAGUGAGGGCCCCUCGGGGUCCAACCUCCCACCCGUGUUUAACGAACCUUUGUUGCUUCGGCGGGCCCGCCUCACGGCCGCCGGGGGGCUCCUGCCCCCGGGCCCGCGCCCGCCGAAGCCCCCCCUUGAACGCUGUCUGAAGUUUGCAGUCUGAGAAACUAGCUAAAUUAGUUAAAACUUUCAACAACGGAUCUCUAGAUC
rnacentral:misc_RNA from 1 species